CCCUCGGUCGUCUAGUUGGUUUAUGGCGUCCGGCUGUAAUGUGUUCGCCACCGGAAUGUCGCGCGUUCGACUCGCGCCUGAGGGA
rnacentral:tRNA from 2 species